rnacentral:rRNA from 1 species
GGGUUGUGAGGUUAAGCGACUAAGCGUACACGGUGGAUGCCCUGGCAGUCAGAGGCGAUGAAGGACGUGCUAAUCUGCGAUAAGCGUCGGUGAGGUGAUAUGAACCGUUAUAACCGGCGAUUUCCGAAUGGGGAAACCCAGUGUGUUUCGACACACUAUCAUUAACUGAAUCCAUAGGUUAAUGAGGCGAACCGGGGGAACUGAAACAUCUAAGUACCCCGAGGAAAAGAAAUCAACCGAGAUUCCCCCAGUAGCGGCGAGCGAACGGGGAGGAGCCCAGAGCCUGAAUCAGUGUGUGUGUUAGUGGAAGCGUCUGGAAAGGCGCGCGAUACAGGGUGACAGCCCCGUACACAAAAAUGCACAUAUUGUGAGCUCGAUGAGUAGGGCGGGACACGUGGUAUCCUGUCUGAAUAUGGGGGGACCAUCCUCCAAGGCUAAAUACUCCUGACUGACCGAUAGUGAACCAGUACCGUGAGGGAAAGGCGAAAAGAACCCCGGCGAGGGGAGUGAAAAAGAACCUGAAACCGUGUACGUACAAGCAGUGGGAGCCUCUUAAUGGGGUGACUGCGUACCUUUUGUAUAAUGGGUCAGCGACUUAUAUUCUGUAGCAAGGUUAACCGAAUAGGGGAGCCGAAGGGAAACCGAGUCUUAACUGGGCGUUAAGUUGCAGGGUAUAGACCCGAAACCCGGUGAUCUAGCCAUGGGCAGGUUGAAGGUUGGGUAACACUAACUGGAGGACCGAACCGACUAAUGUUGAAAAAUUAGCGGAUGACUUGUGGCUGGGGGUGAAAGGCCAAUCAAACCGGGAGAUAGCUGGUUCUCCCCGAAAGCUAUUUAGGUAGCGCCUCGUGAAUUCAUCUCCGGGGGUAGAGCACUGUUUCGGCAAGGGGGUCAUCCCGACUUACCAACCCGAUGCAAACUGCGAAUACCGGAGAAUGUUAUCACGGGAGACACACGGCGGGUGCUAACGUCCGUCGUGAAGAGGGAAACAACCCAGACCGCCAGCUAAGGUCCCAAAGUCAUGGUUAAGUGGGAAACGAUGUGGGAAGGCCCAGACAGCCAGGAUGUUGGCUUAGAAGCAGCCAUCAUUUAAAGAAAGCGUAAUAGCUCACUGGUCGAGUCGGCCUGCGCGGAAGAUGUAACGGGGCUAAACCAUGCACCGAAGCUGCGGCAGCGACACUAUGUGUUGUUGGGUAGGGGAGCGUUCUGUAAGCCUGUGAAGGUGU